ACAACAGAAACCCCUACGCCCAUCCCGCCACUUGGUUCGUCCCGGAACCUUCUUUAGUCAGUGUUUGUUUCCCCCCGAGGACCUUUUGGCCAAACACACUGGAGCGGACACAGGACGAAACAGCAUGGGUGGAGCCGAGGACCGACCAGCAUCUGCCAGACGACAUUCCAAAUACUACGGUUUAAUCAUUUAACAACUACUACAUCAAUAAAUAGUAUAGAUUAUAUAAAAAUGUGCAAAUAGGCCAUGUCAAACUGUACUGUGCAAAUCAUGCUAAUAAAGUGCAAACUGUUCACUAAA